GUGUCUUUUGGUAACAUAUACUAAAGUUGGAAUGAUAUAGAGUUGAAUAGCUUGACCCUUGAACAAUGAUGCCAUGCGAAUUACUGAUAUAUCCCAUAAUCUC